AGGGGGAGGUGGACCCCACCCAGGUAGGUGAGGCCCCUUCGUGCCACCCCCAGAACCCACAGGGUAGAGGAGAGGCUACCACCACCACUGCUGUG
rnacentral:miRNA from 1 species